rnacentral:rRNA from 1 species
UACGUAGGGCGCGAGCGUUGUCCGGAAUUAUUGGGCGUAAAGAGCUCGUAGGCGGUCUGUCGCGUCGGAUGUGAAAUCCCCAGGCUUAACCUGGGAACUGCAUCCGAUACUGGAUGGCUUGAAUCCGGGAGAGGGAUGCAGAAUUCCAGGUGUAGCGGUGAAAUGCGUAGAUAUCUGGAGGAAUACCGGUGGCGAAGGCGGCAUCCUGGACCGGCAUUGACGCUGAGGAGCGAAAGCUAGGGGAGCAAACGGG